UACGGAGGGUGCAAGCGUUAUCCGGAUUCACUGGGUUUAAAGGGUGCGUAGGUGGGCAGGUAAGUCAGUGGUGAAAUCUCCGGGCUUAACCCGGAAACUGCCGUUGAUACUAUCUGUCUUGAAUGUAGUGGAGGUGAGCGGAAUAUGUCAUGUAGCGGUGAAAUGCUUAGAUAUGACAUAGAACACCCAUAGCGAAGGCAGCUCGCUGGGACGUUACUGACACUAAGGCGCGAAAGCGUGGGGAGCGAACAGG
rnacentral:rRNA from 1 species